rnacentral:rRNA from 1 species
AAUGAACGCUGGCGGCAUGCCUAACACAUGCAAGUCGAGCGGAUGAAGGGAGCUUGCUCCCGGAUGCAGCGGUGGACGGGUGAGUAAUGCCCAGGAGUCUGCCUGGAAUUGCCGGAUAGGGUCCGGAAACGGGCGCUAAUCUUGCAUCCGACCAUAUGUAGAAAUUGGGGGAUCUUCCGUCCUAACGGCUUUUGAUGAGGCUAAGUCGGUAUAGCUAGUAGGUGAGGUAAAUGCCUAGCAAGGCGACGAUGCUUAACUGGGCUGAGAGGGUGAUCCGUCACACUGGAACUGAGACACGGUCCAGACUCCGACGGGAGGCAGCAGUGGGGAAUCUUGCGCAAUGGGCGAAAGCCUGAUCCAGCAAUGCCGCGUGUGUGAAGAAGGUCUUCGGAUUGUAAAGCUCUUUAAGUUGGGAGGAAGGAAAGUAAUUUUAUCCCUGGCUGUUUUGACGUUACCGACAGAAUAAGCACCGGCUAACUUCGUG